rnacentral:rRNA from 1 species
UUUAAAGUCUAAUCUGCCCUAUGAGGAGUUAAAUGGCCGCGGUAUUUUGACCGUGCAAAGGUAGCAUAAUAAUUAGUUUUUUAAUUGAAAGCUGGAAUGAAUGAUUGGACGAGAAAAUGACUGUCUCAAUUUAAUUUUAUUAGAAUUUUAUUUUUAAGUAAGAAAGCUUAAAUUUUAUUAAAAGACGAGAAGACCCUAUAGAGUUUUAUAAUUAGUUGAUUAUUAGUUGUUAAGAAUUAUUUUAUUAAUAUUUGAUUAAUUAUUUUAUUGGGGCGAUAGGAAAAUAUUAUUAACUUUUCUUACAAUUAAUACAUUAAUUUAUGAUUUUAUGAUCCAUUAUUUAUGAUUAGAAGAUUAAGUUACCUUAGGGAUAACAGCGUAAUUUUUUUUUAGAGUUCUUAUCGAAAGAAAAGAUUGCGACCUCGAUGUUGGAUUAAAAUUAAUGUUUGGUGUAGAAGCUAAAUAAUUAGGUCUGUUCGACCUUUGAAAUUUUACA